AUUCUGUGACGGCACCGUACUGGGAGAACAAAACCUGGAUUUCAUCCUUGUCUGCCUCCCGAGGGAGGUUCCCAAUGAAGAUCUUGACCAUACUUGAAGCAGUGUUGUAGAAAGCCUGAUGUGAGGGGGGAAAGCUUAAUGAGACUAUGCGAACCAGCGAGAUGGUCAUUUAAACUAAGUACAGUGGUGCACUUGUUAUCGGCAUCAAGCAUGGGUGCUAGUAAUCUAGUAGAAUGUUAGCUAACCACUUUCGACAGAAACCGAUGGUUCUAAAACCUCGAUAAGUUUAUUAUUUCAGCAAUAUUAUCAUGUCCAAAUUUUAUAGAAGCAAAAAUAAAAAUUCAUAGAAAACGGCGUCGAAUAUUGUAAAUCUCGUUGUCUUGCUACAUUACCUAGCUAAAGUAGCUAAUUUAGCUAGCUUGCCACCCCAAUACGCACGUACCCGUUCGAGAAACGGUACUCCAAAAUAUUUUAUUGCAAAACAGAAUAUUUUUCAAUGCGGGUAGACAGAGUUCAUACCUCGAGUCAAUGUCAAAUGUUUUAGCAGUAGCUAUUUAUUUUCUAUUGACCAAGAAAGAUUGAAUGGAACGCUUACCUCAAUCAGUUAGCUGCUUCACGGUCGUGAAAAAAAAUGGCUACACCGGCGUGCUAAAGAAGCCCGCCUAUAGAGAUGCGUCAACACAGCUGAUUGGUUAGACAACCGUUGUUCAUUGAUUAGCCUGGGAAUGGACCAAUGGAACAACAUCUACGUUUAUUCGAGUAAUUCAGACCACCAAUGACACUUCAAGUUGUUACAAUGUAGCCAACACACAAGAGUAGGCCAGCGAUACGGACCACCUCUGUCUGUGUCAUGAAUUAGUUAGCUAUAAAUGUAUAAUACUAAAUAGCUUGUAGGGUUGGUUAUUAUCCUAGUUAGGUACAUAUGAAUAUACUACUAUUCGAACCAACUAAUUCAAAUGGUAUUACAUAUAUUAGCUUGCCUGUUAUACGUAUUUUAUUUAACAAACAUUUUUCUGUUUAAAAAGAACAACUUUAUUACCGCCAUUAUCUGUCGGGCUAUGUGUUGCAUGCAACCAUCAGUUUCAAAGCUUCUGAUUUUUUUUGCCAUUCUGAUUAGAUGGCAGUCAAUUGAAGUAAACUCUCCUUUCCCAAAACAGAUCAUUUGACACGCAACUGAAUCACAUAAUUAUUUGGUUUAAUUGAUACUGCGUCUUUUAAGACUGUACUCACACGGUCAUAAAAUAGAUAUAUGGGCCCGUCUGUUAUUGAAAAGCGUAAGGAAGUUGCAUGGAGCCUUCAAAGGUGAACGCAUAAAACAGACGUUCCCUAAGCAUCUCAUGCUAUUUGGAAAUUACAUAAUUUCCCAUCACAGGAUCAAGGCAAGCAGCAGUCACUGCCACUGGGGGUGCUGUUUCGGGUGCUGCUGACGUAACGAUCGUCCUCUUGCCGUUUUUUGCUGUCCAGUUCCCUCCAACACUCGUUAUAGUUGGCACACAACUUGGCGUGUCAGUAGACAAUUCGCUGUACCCGUUGAAGUAGACAAAGCAACCUUUUGAGACGCUGCGGGCAAAACAACUAUUCUUACCACCGAGAUAAAGACCAUUUCAAGUUGGAUAUUCACGCUUUCAAACCUCAAUCCACUUGAGCCACAGACACCAAACCAAGUUAACCAGAAAGUGAAAGACAACAUCCCUUCAAUUGCAUCAGCCAUCAUAAGAUACAUCAUGGAGGUGUCUCACACCGUGGAAACAGAGGAGCAGAUGACAUGCCUCCAGAUCUACACUGCAUAUUACCCCUGGACACAAGUACCAGGCUGAGGACCCAGUGAGGCAAUUGUGCAUUGAGUUUCUUUCAUAGAUUACUUUUACUACAAUAACAGCCAUAUUGUAUUAUUUUCUCUUUAAAUUAGAAGCAGUUUUCUUAAAAUGCUUAACAUUCUGAAAGCUUAAAUCAAAAUGUUGACUGUACCUCAAAUGUUUUUAUAUUCCACCUUGUAAACCACUCCAAGUAUUAUUCGGACUUAUGUUAUUUUAUCAAAUGUGACACUAAAGAAUGUGAAUAUUACCCUUUUUCAUGAUACCCAAAUAAGAGCAAGUAUCAGAAUUCAAUGAAGGACGAUGUUAGGGUGGGGGAAGGAUAUUGUUAUGUCACCGUUUUGGAAAUGUUGAUUAUAACAAUUACACCGUUUUGAUUUGAUUAUCGUGUUAAAGGCUUUGGCAAGUACAAGCAACACAUUUUACCUGUGAGGAAUAAAGGCACAUUCUGAAAAACUGUC